rnacentral:rRNA from 1 species
AUUAAACGCUGGCGGCAUGCCUUACACAUGCAAGUCGAACGGUAGCGCGGGGCAACCUGGCGACGAGUGGCGAACGGGUGAGUAAAGCAUCGGAACGUGCCCUGGAAUGGGGGAUAACGUAGCGAAAGUUACGCUAGUACCGCAUAUUCUGUGAGCAGGAAAGCAGGGGAUCGCAAGACCUUGCGUUCUGGGAGCGGCCGAUGUCGGAUUAGCUAGUUGGUGGGGUAAAAGCCUACCAAGGCGACGAUCCGUAGCGGGUCUGAGAGGAUGAUCCGCCACACUGGGACUGAGACACGGCCCAGACUCCUACGGGAGGCAGCAGUGGGGAAUUUUGGACAAUGGGCGGAAGCCUGAUCCAGCCAUGCCGCGUGAGUGAAGAAGGCCU